rnacentral:rRNA from 1 species
UACAGAGGUCCCGAGCGUUGUUCGGAUUCACUGGGCGUAAAGGGUGCGUAGGUGGCGAGGAAAGUCGGAUGUGAAAGCUCGGAGCUCAACUCCGAAAUGGCAUUGGAAACUACCUUGCUCGAGGGUUGGAGGGGGGACUGGAAUUCUCGGUGUAGCAGUGAAAUGCGUAGAUAUCGAGAGGAAGACCAGUGGCGAAGGCGGGUCUCUGGACAGUUCCUGACGCUGAGGCACGAAGGUCAGGGGAGCAAACGGG